rnacentral:rRNA from 1 species
UACGAGGGGGGCAAGCGUUGUUCGGAUUUACUGGGCGUAAAGGGCGCGUAGGCGGCCACCGCAAGUCGACUGUGAAAUCUCCGGGCUUAACCCGGAAAGGUCAGCCGAUACUGCGGGGCUAGAGUGCAGAAGGGGCAACUGGAAUUCUCGGUGUAGCGGUGAAAUGCGUAGAUAUCGAGAGGAACACCAGUGGCGAAGGCGACUUCCUGGCCUGUUCUUGACGCUGAGGCGCGAAAGCUAGGGGAGCAAACGGG